AUUGAACGCUGGCGGCAUGCCUUACACAUGCAAGUCGAACGGUAACAGGUCUUCGGAUGCUGACGAGUGGCGAACGGGUGAGUAAUACAUCGGAACGUGCCUAGUAGUGGGGGAUAACUACUCGAAAGAGUGGCUAAUACCGCAUGAGAUCUACGGAUGAAAGCAGGGGAUCGCAAGACCUUGUGCUACUAGAGCGGCCGAUGGCAGAUUAGGUAGUUGGUGGGAUAAAAGCUUACCAAGCCGACGAUCUGUAGCUGGUCUGAAAGGACGAUCAGCCACACUGGGACUGAGACACGGACCAGACUCGUACGGGAGGCAGCAGUGGGGAAUUUUUGACAAUGGGCGCAAGCCUGAUCAAGCAAUGCCGCGUGCAGGAUGAAGGCCUUCGGGUUGUAAACUGCUUUUGUACGGAACGAAAAGCCCUGGGUUAAUACCCUGGGGUCAUGACGGUACCGUAAGAAUAAGCACCGGCUAACUACGUGCCAGCAGCCGCCGUAAGAC
rnacentral:rRNA from 1 species